AACUUUCUCUGCAUAACUGCCACAGCUUUUCCUUAAAUCGCAAUUUUCUCUUUCUAGAGAAACUACCCUAACCUUGCAGCUGCAACUAGCCAGGCUGGAUGAAAACUGUGGCCUCUCAUAAAGCCCUCAACAGUCAGGUGACGGUGUGGGCUCUCCCGAGGCAAGUGUACACCGUGUGAAUGUACACACUCGAAAGCCACCGUGAAUGACGCAUUGCCUGUCCGGCAGGUGGCGUCCCUCGUCAGGUGCCCGCACAGUGCCCCAUCACUGAGCAGCAGCUUGGGGGAGCAGUCCAGACACCACCACAGCCUCACCCCAAGCCUGGUGACUGCUGUUAUUUGCUUCACAAUGUUGGUGUAGAAAAAUCAGGUUGCCGCAGAACAUCAUCAGCGAGCUCAGAAAACAAGUGAAGGGAUUGAGGUAGCAGACCCUGAAGAGUCCACAGCAGCUGAAAACUCCAUUUCUCCAUAUGCAAGCCCUGAAGUGCAGGAGUUUAUCAGAGGACAGCAGUUCCAAUCUUCACCUUUGGCUAAGGCAAACUUCCAUCCAAGCAGGCUGGAGCAAACAAACUCACAGUCCUGAGGAAGAGCAGACACCACGUCGAAGGAAGAGACUCUGUGGCAUGCAUUUGAUGCAGUGACCGUCAAAGAAUCUCUCCAUUUUGACCCGGCCUCUGAUUCCAUCAUUGGUACAAAGGAUUUUGGAGACCGUGGCAAGAGUCUGAAGCAGGCAAACCAUGCACUUGUGUUCAUGUCUAAAGGGUUGGCCAGGAAGUGGAAAAUGGUUAGGUUAAGUUAUAUCAGGUUAUGUUAGGAUAGGUCAGGUCAGGUCAGAUCAGGUCAAGUUAGGAUUGCC